GGCUCAACCGUGGAACUGCGGGGUAAACCACAAGUCUUGAGGCAUGUAGGGGUCAGUGGAACGAUGUGUGGAGCGGUGAAAUGUGUAGAUAUACAUCGGAACGCCAAUGGCGAAGGCAGCUGACUGGGCAUGUCCUGACGCUCAGGUACGAAAGCGUGGGUAACGAACGGGAUUAGAUACCCCGGUAGUCCACGCCGUAAACGAUGCGCACUAGGUCGUGGUACCUCUCAUGGUUUCACGGCUGAAGGUAAACUGGUUAGUGCGCCGCCUGGGGAGUACGGUCGCAAGGCUAAAACUCAAAGGAAUUGACGGGGGCUCACACAAGCGGUGGAGCAUGUUGCUUAAUUCGAGGCAACGCGAAGAACCUUACCUGGGCUUGACAUGUAUGGAUUAACUUAUUGAAAGAUAGGCCACGCCCUUUGGGUGGAACAUACACAGGUGCUGCAUGGCUGUCGUCAGCUCGUGCUGUGAAGUGUUGGGUUAAGUCCCUUAACGAGCGCAACCCCUAUCGUUAGUUACUCACGCGUCAUGGCGAGGACUCUAGCGAGACUGCCGGUGUCAAACCGGAGGAAGGUGGGGAUGACGUCAAGUCAGCAUGGCCCUUACGCCCAGGGAUGCAAACGUGCUACAAUGGUGUGGACAGAGCGAAGCGAUACCGCGAGGUGGAGCAAAUCGCAAAAACCGCACCCCAGUUCGGAUAGCAGGCUGCAAUUCGCCUGCUUGAAGUUGGAAUCGCUAGUAAUCGCGUAUCAGCAUGACGCGGUGAAUACGUUCCUGAGCCUUGUACACACCGCCCGUCACGUCAUGGAAGCUGCUAGUGCCCGAAGUCACCUCGGUUCAGGGGUGCCUACGGCAAGAGUGGUGACUGGGACGAAGUCGUAACAAGGUAGCCGUAGGAGAACCUGCGGCUGGAUCACCU
rnacentral:rRNA from 1 species